AGUACGGUAGGGGCAGAGGGAAUUUCCUGUGGAGCGGUGAAAUGCAUUGAGAUCGGAAAGAACACCAACGGCGAAAGGACUCUGCUGGGCCGACGCU
rnacentral:rRNA from 16 species